rnacentral:rRNA from 1 species
GACGAACGCUGGCGGCGUGCUUAACACAUGCAAGUCGAACGGACAGGCCCUGCUUUUGUGGGGUGCUCGAGUGGCGAACGGGUGAGUAACACGUGAGUAACCUGCCCUUGACUUUGGGAUAACUUCAGGAAACUGGGGCUAAUACCGGAUAGGAGCUCCUGCUGCAUGGUGGGGGUUGGAAAGUUUCGGCGGUUGGGGAUGGACUCGCGGCUUAUCAGCUUGUUGGUGGGGUAGUGGCUUACCAAGGCUUUGACGGGUAGCCGGCCUGAGAGGGUGACCGGGCACAUUGGGACUGAGAUACGGCCCAGACUCCUACGGGAGGCAGCAGUGGGGAAUAUUGCACAAUGGGCGGAAGCCUGAUGCAGCAACGCCGCGUGCGGGAUGACGGCCUUCGGGUUGUAAACCGCUUUCGCCUGUGACGAAGCGUGAGUGACGGUAAUGGGUAAAGAAGCACCGGCUAACUACGUG